AUCGCUUCUUGGCCUUUUGGCUAAGAUCAAGUGUAGUAUCUGUUCUUAUCAGUUAAUAUCUGAUAUGUCCUCUAUCCAAGGACAAUAUAUUAAAUGGAUUUUUGGAGCAGGGACAUGGACUAGGAGCUUGCUCCGUCCACUCCAUGCAUCAGCUUGGUAUUGCUGUACCUCUAGGAAUGGUGCACCCCUC
ensembl:snRNA U2 U2 spliceosomal RNA